rnacentral:misc_RNA from 1 species
GAUGAAGAACGUAGCGAAAUGCGAUAAGUAGUGUGAAUUGCAGAAGUCAGUGAAUCAUCGAAUCUUUGAACGCACAUUGCGCCCCUUGGUAUUCCAUGGGGCAUGCCUGUUCGAGCGUCAUUUGUACCUUCAAGCUUUGCUUGGUGUUGGGUGUUUGUCCCUCGGGACUCGCCUUAAAGUCAUUGGCAGCCAGUGUUUUGGUUUUGAAGCGCAGCACAAGUCGCGAUUCAAGGCUAUCCGCCCGCUUCCACAAGCCUUUUUCACUUUUGACCUCGGAUCAGGUAGGGAUACCCGCUGAACUUAAGCAUAUCAAUAAGCGGAGGA